UACGGGGGGGGCAAGCGUUGUUCGGAAUUACUGGGCGUAAAGGGUUCGUAGGUGGCUCGCUAAGUCAGACGUGAAAUCCCUCAGCUUAACUGGGGAACUGCAUCUGAGACUGGCAAGCUUGAGUGCAGGAGAGGAACGCGGAAUUCCAGGUGUAGCGGUGAAAUGCGUAGAUAUCUGGAGGAACACCGGUGGCGAAGGCGGGUCUCUGGGCAGUAACUGACGCUGAGGAGCGAAAGCGUGGGGAGCGAACAGG
rnacentral:rRNA from 1 species